rnacentral:rRNA from 1 species
GAGUUUGAUCGUGGCUCAGAUUGAACGCUGGCGGCAUGCCUUACACGUGCAAGUCGAACGGCAGCACGGGAGCUUGCUCCUGGUGGCGAGUGGCGAACGGGUGAGUAAUGCAUCGGAACGUAUCCUGGAGUGGGGGAUAACGUAGCGAAAGUUACGCUAAUACCGCAUAUUCUGUGAGCAGGAAAGCGGGGGACCUUCGGGCCUCGCGCUCUUGGAGCGGCCGAUGUCGGAUUAGCUAGUUGGUGAGGUAAAGGCUCACCAAGGCGACGAUCCGUAGCAGGUCUGAGAGGAUGAUCUGCCACACUGGAACUGAGACACGGUCCAGACUCCUACGGGAGGCAGCAGUGGGGAAUUUUGGACAAUGGGGGCAACCCUGAUCCAGCCAUGCCGCGUGAGUGAAGAAGGCCUCGGUU